AAAGACAGGUGUAUCAGGUUGCUGGCCAUUUCCCCUGCUGAAACUCCUGGGCUGGCAACUGGGGGUCCUGAGAGUGUCCUCCUGCUGUCUUUGCUCAACUCAGCUCUCAUGGCCAAAGGGCUCCGAGAAACACAGUCAUCUCCCUCCACUGUCAACAUAUACCCUGCCUACGGGAGAGACCAUCGUAGUAACAGCCCACACCUGCACCGUCUCCCGCCCGCUCCAGCCCAGCAAGGUGCCCAGGACAGGAUGGCAGUCCCAUUUUACAGGUGGGCAUCCUGAGGCCCAGAGAAGGACAGUAAUUCUCCAUGAGCCACACUACUGGGAUUCCCUGCUGGCCAGCCUCAGCCUCACCCCAUCCCAAGGGUCAGUCCUGACUCAGGAAAGGAGGACAAGAAGGCAUCCAGCCGCAGAAGCUGUGGCUGUGUCUUUCUGGAGAAGGCCAUCUUCAGGUCCUACCAGGGAAGGUCCCUGCUUUCCUGCUAGGAGCCUUUAUCUGCAGGGUCUUUACCAUCCGUGUGAGGCACCGCUGAGCUGUCACUUGGGAGCUGCCCUUGGUUCUUGCUCAGAAUCUCUGAUGUUGGAGGAACAGCGCCCCCUGAAGGCUGGCAGUGUGGGGCAGUGAAAAUCAGCAAGAGCCCCCUAGCCCCCAUCUUAUGGCUGGAAGAGCUUUGUGUCAGAGUCAAUCUGAGUGUUUCUGAGUGUUUUUUAGUGUGAGAAGCCUGAGCCUCUUGACUUCAGUCCAACAGUUAGUGAAGCUGUCCCCCCUAAAGGAUCGCCUGGGGCCAUGGGCAGGUGCGAGGGAGUCACCUGACCCCAGAGCGUCCCUGCUCAAGUCUUCUGCCUGUGGAGACCCGGCCCCAGUCACUUCCCAGCCUUGGGGUGAGGGCUGGCUGUCCCCCUAUCCAGAGCUGUGCAGGCGGGGCCAACUCAGCAUUCAGGACUUGCCAGCAAAUUCUUUGGUGAUGCUGGGCCUCUCAGCUGGACCCCGCGAUGUUGUCUCUGAGAGCAGAGAGGGGGAGAAUGGCUGCUCCUCAACUCUGGCAUUCCUACCCCAAAUCCUGUAGUUUUAGGAGUUCAGCCUAGUGGUGCAGGGAGGAUGGGAGGCGUCGUGUCUCUUCAGACUUCCGAAACGUCUCCUCCAGGCACAGGGAAGGGGUUUUGGCACUGGUGUGCUUGUAGGUUUCCAGACUAAAACCUCCAUCUCAGUCCUAUGACCCAGAAAUUCUGUUCCUGUGCCCAUGAUGGAGAAGGGAGGGGCAGCCUGAGAGUCCUCCAGCGGGGGCGUGAAUGAGUAACACGUGGCUGAUGCACUGUAGGCAGACUCAGCAACGUGGAUCUUAAAAUCAAAAGUGUUCAGUGAAAAAAGUAGGAAAGCAGAUGAGAUUUUAUAACAGAAUACCAUCUCCGUACAUUCUUAAUACAAGUAUAGGUGGAUGCUUAUUUUUAGCAUUGUACUAUUGCCUCGGGUAUUAAUAAAAUGAACAUGACUAUCUGAUAUCAAUGUGUAAAAGAUUUCAAAGACUCUAAGGGAACAUUUUUCAACCAAAAUUUGUAUGCUCACUUUGUAGACCAGCAUGAUCAUAUGAUAGUUCUCCUAUGUUAAAUUAUUUUUAUUUUGCAAUUUCCCAUACUUCUUAUAGUUGAAAGGUAUUACAGUGGUUACUCUCAAUAAUUCUGUACUAGUUCAAAUGUACCAAAAUUAUAUCAAUUGACUUUGGAAUAGUACACCUAAGUGGAAAUGUAAAUUCAUGUGUUAUUCACAAUAUAUUUUUAUCCCUCAAAGUAUUUUUCAUUUUCACAUUGCUCAGGCCCUGAAUUUAGAAUGAUAUGCUUAUUCAACAUUUGGAUUAAAGUCCUGAUAACGUAUGCUUCUAAGUUUCCCCUUAUACUUAAGAAAAACAAAUUAUUUUCUGAGUUAAAAAAAUACAUUCACACAAAACACAUGCAAGAACACAUACAAAUAAAAAGAUAUGCAUUAAGCACAUUAGAGUGCUUACCUAUAGUGGAUAGGAGAACAGGCGGGAACUAUGGGAUAAGUGCCUUAGACAGCAAGGAGAUCAAGGAGUCCUAAAGGAAAUCAACUCUGAAUAUUCACUGAAGGACUGAUGCUGAAGCUGAAGCCCAAAACUUUGGCCACCUGAUGUGAAAACCCAACUCAUUGAGAAAGACCCUGAGGCUGGGAAAGAUUGAGGGCAGAAGAAGAGGGUGACAGAGGAUGAGAUGGUUGGAUGGCAUCACUGACUCGAUGGACAUGAGUUUGAGCAAACUCUGGGAGAUAGUGAAGGACAAGGAAGCCUGGUGUGCUGCAGUCCAUGGGGUCUCAAGCAGCUGGACACAACAACUGAACAACAAUGGGAUAAGAAGAAAUUCAUUAAUUCAAAAUGAAGGAAGGGGCCUUACUCAAAGAUGAUAAUGGACCAUAAGGCUAAGUAACUCAGUCUCCCUGCACACAGCCAAGGGCAAAACUGAUGAAAAAGCCUGCAAGCUCCAGUCUCCAAGCCCAGAGUCAAGUCCAUCUGCUCCAGCUCUGGGGCAAAGGUCUUCCAAGAGUUUCAGUCAACAGCACAGUGGCAUUUGGUUUAUCACCCACCCAUCCAGAAGAUUCCUAGGAACGUGUGGUCAAGGCUCAAGAAAUUGCACCCUAAAAAGACUAUGAGACUGAGAAAUGCGCCCCCUAGAGGCCAGGAGGGUGGUCAGAGGUCUGUUUGAGUUGAACCAAAACUUCAGGAGAAUAGAGGCUGGGCAAACUGUCCUGGCCGACCUCUAAGGCCUUGAUUGCCUAACAGCUCAGGGCUCGGGCUGCUGUGACUAUGAUGGCAUGGCCCUGGCAGUGCACUGGCCAACUGGAAGCCUGCUGGGCUUUUUGUCCUUACAUCCCGCUCCAAAAUCAGCCAGGAUUCCAAGGACACGAGCCUCAAAAGCACUGCCUUUCUUACAGAGCCCUGAAAAACUACCAACCUUUGAUGUCUGUGAUUUGUUCUGUAUCACAUAUAGGAGCCCUCAGCACAAUUAUAGAGAAGACAAACUUGGGUGGAAGUCGGUACCAUUCCUAAAGUCCUGUGCUCAUUCUUCACUCUUCCAUGCAGGGCCAGGGACUCUCUGGCUGCACGAGUCCGUCCUGUGAAAAGACCUGAUGCACUUGUUCUCAC
ensembl:lncRNA